GCCAGGCGUGGUGGCGCAUGCCUACAGUCCCAGCUACUCAGGAGGUUGAGGUGGGAGGGUCGCUUGAGCCCAGGAGUUCUGGGCUGUAGUGCGCUAUGCCGAUUAGGUGUCCGCACUAAGUUCGACAUCAAUAUGGUGACCUCCCGGGAGCAGAGGACCACCAGGUUGCCUAAGGAUGGGUGAACCGGCCCAGGUCGGAAACGGAGCAGGUCAAAACUCCCGUGCUGAUCAGUAGUGGGAUCGCGACUGUGAAUAGCCACUGCACUCCAGCCUGGGCAACAUAGCGAGACCCCGUCUCU
rnacentral:SRP_RNA from 1 species